AACUCUCUUUUGCAUUCUACUUAUUUUAUUUUUGAUAAAUUAAUAGGCAAACUUUCGGAUUACCAUGGGUUCUCCGUUGUCCCCGAUCAUAGCAGACUUGGUAAUGAGAGAUUGGAUCUGGAAGAAAGAGCAAUCGAGAAAUUGGGAUUCAUAGCUAAGAUGAGUGGCCGGAAGUGGGACUUCUUGGAGGUUACCAUGAAAAUUAUUAGCGGCGUCCUUUUUGAUUGGUAUCAUAAACCAACUUUCUCAGGGAGAUUUUUAAAUUUUUUAUCGCAACAUCCUCUAUCCCAAAAAGGGGAGUUGUGUACGGAUUGGUGGAUAGAGCUCUUUCAUUAUCACAUCCCCAGUACCAUCAAAAAAACUUUGAAUUUAUUUUUUCUAUGUUUCUGAAUAACGAUUAUUCCUCUAAUUUCAUUCUCGAUUGCAUUUCCCGUAGAUUCAAAUUCCAAUUUUAUAAAUAUAAUAACACACAAACAUAUAUAUCUAGAAAUGGAAAUGAAUCGGUGGACAAUGACAGAAGGACCAAAUGAUUUCACCUUUUAACCCUAUACCCUAUAACGAUUGAUAAAUUCAGAACGAUAGUCAACGAUUGAUGCUAAACUAGCUUUCUUUAGUAUUAAUAAAUUGAAUAGAUUUAUACGCGUCCAUAAAGGUAAAAAUCUCACCAGACACAAUAAAAAAUAGUAGUAUAUAAAGUAGUAUGUAAGAUAGAAUGCAACAAUUGCGAUAAAUGUUAUGUAGGACAAACUAAGAGGCAACUUAAAA